AAUUAACUUCCAGCAGCUAAUGGAUGCUCUAGUUUUGUGUUGUUGUUGUUGUUGUUUUUUUAAUGUUGUUUGUUUUUCUGAAGGGAACACUGAAGUAUUUCUGUCAGAAGACCUCCCUCUGGGUUCUCAAAAUCAUACAGCUAUUAAGCAUCCAGGGAAAUGUAGCAGUCCCAAGGGACAGCCUUCACUCUUACAGAUCAUAAAACAACAACUGUCUUCAAAGACUGCAUCUUCUCUUGUGAUUUAUGCCUCCGGGGAUUAAAACUGCAUGGAGAUUACAUUCCCCAGCCAGGACAUAGCUGGGAAAAGCUGGUUCAGUGCUUCAUACUGUGGCAGUGUUAGGAGGCUGAGGAGACCUGUGGGAAGACAUGGAAGUAACACAUCUGCACUCUGAGGAUGAGUGACUGCCAGCUGUGUUUUACGUUGAAUUUGUGGAGAACUACGUCUUGCUUGCUGCUCUUGGCCAGCCAUGGCAAUUUGUAUGUAGGAUUUCUGUGUCUCUGCUACCCCGUAUGUUAUGAAUAUUUCUUUUGGAGUAGGAUGUUGGUGCCUAAGCCUAAGAUUAGAUGCUGGUAUGUGAUACGUUGUUUACUGCGUUGUAUCGUACCUGGAAAAAUAAAGUGA
ensembl:lncRNA